GCUCGCCCUCUCUCCCCCUCCCUUUCCCUUUCCCCCUUCUCCCUCUGAAACCAUGUUACACCUGGGGCUGGGACCCCAAUAAACCCUCAUCUAAUUAGCACCCUCACAAGCCGUGUGGAUUCUCCUCUCUGGAGAGCUGGAAAAGAAUACAAUCCAUGUUUGAUAUAGUCUGUUGGUGGCCCAUGAAGAUGCUGCUUCGAUUCUGAAGGCCCCCAUACAUGGGUACCAAGCUGAAUGUUCUCCAGUGCUCCACAGCAGCCCAGUUAUCCACAGGAGGGCCAAGAGUAGCUCCAGAAGCUCCAAGGGAUUCUAACAGAUGAAUUUCUGUCCCUCAGGAAGGCAGGGUAGGUCUGAAGUAAAGGGUCUGACCCUGCACCCACCAUUGCAUGGCAGCAGCUGUCCCACACUUUGUGGAAGGCACAUACAUGUGACACUCUUAUAUCAGCACUGGCUUAGUCAGACUUAUAAAGAUCUUAAAAAAAAACAGACCGGGCAAAAAAUAUUUGUAUUUUAGUUGGUUGGGGUAUUUUUGGCUUUUUUUUUUUUCUUGGUUCUUUGCUUUGGUGCUCAGAGAUAAUGAAGGAGGAGGCAGAUUUUCUGUUCAACUUGCCUGUCAGUAUGCAGGGGGCAUGAAAAGAAGAUCAGCUUUUCACCAGCUGGUUAAGGAGCUCUAAAAGCAAUUGUGCUGUCCCUAAUCAGGGGGUGGGGGCACUGCUAACAGCCUGGAUUGUCCCCACCUGUGUUCCCCUCCUUACCAAAGUGCUGUGUAGAUCCAGAGCCUUGUGCCUUGGCCUGAUGGUACAAAAUCCACCCAAUAUCCAUCUGUUUGCAUAAAUAAAGGCUUUGUUCUCAUUAAGAUGAAAAGCUGUAUGGGUGGCCUGCAGCUAAUGUUCUUUUGUUGCCUGGACCCCAGUCAGUGCUCACAUCUAAAUGACUGACCAGCCCCAAGCUGCUCUUAAGACUGAUUUGAUCAAAGGCACUGAAGCUCUGUUGAGUGCAAAUUCUCCAGGAAAACAAGCACAGGAACUUGGAUAAUGUUGGUGACAGAAGCAGAGUGCAGAUUUGAACCUCUGAGGACACCUCACUGCUGCCUCCCCCCACCCUUUUAUUUUUAAUUCAUUUAAUAUUCUGAGUGCCAGCUCUGGCAUGAAGUGGGUCCUCAGCAAGGAGCUGCUGGGCCUCCUGGCUGUGUCCCUUUGUGCUCCCAGUGCUUCUGGUCUGGUUUGGCUGGGAAACUUGUCCAUCCUGCCUCUGUGUUUUCUUCCUAUCUUUCCAAUGCACAGCCCUUUCCCGCUGCUUGGCAUUUGAAUACUCUGAUUACUUCAUUGGGUAACUUGCAUCUUGCACUCCAUGACAUUAAAUUGUGUUGCUCAGACGCUGUCCUAUUCUGAGUUUCUGGAACACAUUUCUAAGCCUUCCAGCUGUAGCCCAAGGGAAACUAUUUCUGCCUUGCAUAACAAAAUUGGCAGAUUUUUUGCAAAGACAGCCCGUUACAAAGGACUUGUUGUGUGCAUUGACAUCUGAGGGGCUGCUUUCUAAGACAGAUAAAAAACCCAUGAACAAACAGCAAACCAACCAAACAACAUAUUUUUAAAAAUUACUUUAUUUUUACCUCUUAUUUUUAAUCUUUUCCAAGCUGGCCUUCUUUUCCGCUGCAGUGUUUUUCUUUGGACAGAAUAGCCCCCUUGCCAGAUGAUGCGACUUCACAAGGAAAACAGAACUCACACACAAUGCAUAUAUGAAAGCUAAACGUGGAGAUUCCCAUUAUCACAAUCAUCACCACUGAUUUUCAGAUAAUUUGCUGUCAAAAUGUUUCCAGAAGGGUGAGAACAGUAUCUCAGAUCCCCUGGCUAGUUUGGUGUCGUAGCCACUUAUUAUCUCUCCUUUCUUAUUAUCUUUCCUUUCUGCACUUCUGUAGUUGCUCUGCCCAUUUGCUGCUCUUGGAUCUCUGCCUCCUUCACCUGAUUUUUAUCUUUUUCUGGAUUUGUGGGGAUUUUUCUGUUGGUUUUGGUUUUUCUUGGUGGUUGUUUUGUUUGCCUAUUUUAUUUGGUCCCUGUUAGAGAGCCUUUUGGGCAGAUGCUGUGGCCUAUGUGCACAACCCUGCAGAUAAAAACCAAUGGACAUUCUGUGGAUUUAGAAGCAUGCUUGCCAACACUUCGGGUAUGUGCCUGAUAGCAGAAGCUUGCUGCCCUUGGACAGCCAGCCUGAGAAAGUUUGCCAACUGAAGAAGAUGUGAAAGUACAUGGUCUGAAGAUUCUAGCAGAGGAUGAGAAAAUGUUCCACUGAUAUUGCUGACAAGCUGAGCUA